rnacentral:rRNA from 1 species
GGAUUCCCCUAGUAACUGCGAGUGAAGCGGGAAAAGCUCAAAUUUAAAAUCUGGCGGUCUUUGGCCGUCCGAGUUGUAGUCUGGAGAAGUGCUUUCCGCGCUGGACCGUGUACAAGUCUCUUGGAACAGAGCGUCAUAGAGGGUGAGAAUCCCGUCUUUGACAUGGACUACCAGUGCUUUGUGAUGCGCUCUCAAAGAGUCGAGUUGUUUGGGAAUGCAGCUCAAAAUGGGUGGUGAAUUCCAUCUAAAGCUAAAUAUUGGCGAGAGACCGAUAGCGAACAAGUACCGUGAGGGAAAGAUGAAAAGCACUUUGGAAAGAGAGUUAAACAGUACGUGAAAUUGCUGAAAGGGAAACGCUUGAAGUCAGUCGCGUUGUCCGGAACUCAGCCUUGCUUCGGCUUGGUGCAUUUUCCGGGCGACGGGCCAGCAUCGAUUUUGACCGUCGGAAAAGGGCUGAGGGAAUGUGGCACCUUCGGGUGUGUUAUAGCCUUCAGUCGCAUACGGCGGUUGGGAUCGAGGAACGCAGCACGCCUUAUGGCUGGGGUUCGCCCACAUUCGUGCUUAGGAUGCUGGCAUAAUGGCUUUAAACGACCCGUCUUGAAACACGGACCAAGGAGUCUAACAUGCCUGCGAGUGUUUGGGUGGAAAACCCGAGCGCGUAAUGAAAGUGAAAGUUGAGACCUCUGUCGUGGAGGGCAUCGACGCCCGGACCUGACGUUCUCUGACGGAUCCGCGGUAGAGCAUGUAUGUUGGGACCCGAAAGAUGGUGAACUAUGCCUGAAUAGGGUGAAGCCAGAGGAAACUCUGGUGGAGGCUCGUAGCGAUUCUGACGUGCAAAUCGAUCGUCAAAUUUGGGUAUAGGGGCGAAAGACUA